rnacentral:tRNA from 1 species
CAGAAGGUAGUUUAAUCUAGAACACCAGCUUUGGGAGCUGGAGGUAGAGGUUUGAUUCCUUUCUUUCUGA